rnacentral:misc_RNA from 1 species
AAGUCGUAACAAGGUUUCCGUAGGUGAACCUGCGGAAGGAUCAUUAACACGUAUCCAAACGUUAAAACCCCCCCCCGUGAACUUUCAAUCCUGCUCUUGUAACCCGCGUAGUUCGCAAUCUCUGGUAAAUCAUAGCCCGGAAAGUUGUUUGAUUCAGAGACCUCUGCCAGUUGUUCGGUUUUUCAUUAAACUGUGGGGUUAUAAGGGGGCAUGGGGACCCUUUGGCAUAGCUCCUGCCCGAGUGUACGGUCUACAGGAAUCGUGAUCCUUGCACAAUCAAUGACACUUUCCGACACUGACUGCUUGGGGAAACAAUCUACCGCUAUCUUGGUU